AUUGAACGCUGGCGGCAGGCCUAACACAUGCAAGUCGAGCGGAUGAAGGGAGCUUGCUCCUGGAUUCAGCGGCGGACGGGCGAGUAAUGCCUAGGAAUCUGCCCGGUAGUGGGGGAUAACGUCCGGAAACGGGCGCUAAUAUCGCAUACGUCCUGAGGGAGAAAGUGGGGGAUCUUCGGACCUCACGCUAUCAGAUGAGCCUAGGUCGGAUUAGCUAGUUGGUGGGGUAAAGGCCUACCAAGGCGACGAUCCGUAACUGGUCUGAGAGGAUGAUCAGUCACACUGGAACUGAGACACGGUCCAGACUCCUACGGGAGGCAGCAGUGGGGAAUAUUGGACAAUGGGCGAAAGCCUGAUCCAGCCAUGCCGCGUGUGUGAAGAAGGUCUUCGGAUUGUAAAGCACGUUAAGUUGGGAGGAAGGGCAGUAAGUUAAUACCUUGCUGUUUUGACGGUACCAACAGAAUAAGCACCGGCUAACUUCGUG
rnacentral:rRNA from 1 species